rnacentral:rRNA from 1 species
AGUGAACGCUGGCGGUAGGCCUAACACAUGCAAGUCGAACGGCAGCACAGUAAGAGCUUGCUCUUACGGGUGGCGAGUGGCGGACGGGUGAGGAAUACAUCGGAAUCUACUUUUUCGUGGGGGAUAACGUAGGGAAACUUACGCUAAUACCGCAUACGACCUACGGGUGAAAGCAGGGGAUCUUCGGACCUUGCGCGAUUGAAUGAGCCGAUGUCGGAUUAGCUAGUUGGGGGGGUAAAGGCCCACCAAGGCGACGAUCCGUAGCUGGUCUGAGAGGAUGGUAGGCCACACUGGAACUUGGACACGGUCCAUGCUCCUACGGGAGGCAGCAGUGGGGAAUAUUGGACAAUGGGCGCAAGCCUGAUCCAGCCAUACCGCGUGGGUGAAGAAGGCCUUCGGGUUGUAAAGCCCUUUUGUUGGGAAAGAAAAGCAGCAGGUUAAUACCCCGCUGUUCUGACGGUACCCAAAGAAUAAGCACCGGCUAACUUCGUG